rnacentral:rRNA from 1 species
CUCCUCGGGUGACGAGUGGCGGACGGGUGAGUAGUGUCUGGGGAUCUGCCCGAUAGAGGGGGAUAACCACUGGAAACGGUGGCUAAUACCGCAUAACGUCGCAAGACCAAAGAGGGGGACCUUCGGGCCUCUCACUAUCGGAUGAACCCAGAUGGGAUUAGCUAGUAGGCGGGGUAACGGCCCACCUAGGCGACGAUCCCUAGCUGGUCUGAGAGGAUGACCAGCCACACUGGAACUGAGACACGGUCCAGACUCCUACGGGAGGCAGCAGUGGGGAAUAUUGCACAAUGGGCGCAAGCCUGAUGCACCCAUGCCGCGUGUAUGAAGAAGGCCUUCGGGUUGUAAAGUACUUUCAGCGGGGAGGAAGGCAGUGAGGUUAAUAACCUUACUGAUUGACGUUACCCGCAGAAGAAGCACCGGCUAACUCCGUGCCAGCAGCCGCGGUAAUACGGAGGGUGCAAGCGUUAAUCGGAAUUACUGGGCGUAAAGCGCACGCAGGCGGUCUGUUAAGUCAGAUGUGAAAUCCCCGGGCUUAACCUGGGAACUGCAUUUGAAACUGGCAGGCUUGAGUCUCGUAGAGGGGGGUAGAAUUCCGGGUGUAGCGGUGAAAUGCGUAGAGAU